AGCGAACGCUGGCGGCAGGCCUAACACAUGCAAGUCGAGCGCCCAGCAAUGGGAGCGGCAGACGGGUGAGUAACGCGUGGGGAUCUGCCCAAUGGUACGGAAUAACCCAGGGAAACUUGGACUAAUACCGUAUGUGCCCUUCGGGGGAAAGAUUUAUCGCCAUUGGAUGAACCCGCGUCGGAUUAGCUAGUUGGUGAGGUAAAGGCUCACCAAGGCGACGAUCCGUAGCUGGUCUGAGAGGAUGAUCAGCCACACUGGGACUGAGACACGGCCCAGACUCCUACGGGAGGCAGCAGUGGGGAAUAUUGGACAAUGGGCGCAAGCCUGAUCCAGCCAUGCCGCGUGAGUGAUGAAGGCCUUAGGGUUGUAAAGCUCUUUCGCCGGUGAAGAUAAUGACGGUAACCGGAGAAGAAGCCCCGGCUAACUUCGUGCCAGCAGCCGCCGUAACAC
rnacentral:rRNA from 1 species